rnacentral:rRNA from 1 species
AAGAGCUUGCUCUUCGAUUCAGCGGCGGACGGGAGAGUAAUGCCUAGGAAUCUGCCUGGUAGUGGGGGACAACGUUUCGAAAGGAACGCUAAUACCGCAUACGUCCUACGGGAGAAAGCAGGGGACCUUCGGGCCUUGCGCUAUCAGAUGAGCCUAGGUCGGAUUAGCUAGUUGGUGGGGUAAUGGCUCACCAAGGCGACGAUCCGUAACUGGUCUGAGAGGAUGAUCAGUCACACUGGAACUGAGACACGGUCCAGACUCCUACGGGAGGCAGCAGUGGGGAAUAUUGGACAAUGGGCGAAAGCCUGAUCCAGCCAUGCCGCGUGUGUGAAGAAGGUCUUCGGAUUGUAAAGCACUUUAAGUUGGGAGGAAGGGCAGUAAGCGAAUACCUUGCUGUUUUGACGUUACCGACAGAAUAAGCACCGGCUAACUCUGUGCCAGCAGCCGCGGUAAUACAGAGGGUGCAAGCGUUAAUCGGAAUUACUGGGCGUAAAGCGCGCGUAGGUGGUUUGUUAAGUUGAAUGUGAAAGCCCCGGGCUCAACCUGGGAACUGCAUCCAAAACUGGCAAGCUAGAGUACAGUAGAGGGUGGUGGAAUUUCCUGUGUAGCGGUGAAAAUGCGUAGAUAUAGGAAGGAACACCAGUGGCGAAGGCGACCACCUGGACUGAUACUGACACUGAGGUGCGAAAGCG